GUUAAUGUCGCUCCAGCAGGAGAGGUAAUACUGAGGGCGAAAGCGUUAAUGGGACACAAUGGGCGGAAAGAGCAGGUAUGCUGAUUAAGAAAUCAGAAGUGAAAUCCAAGAGCUUAACUAUGGAACUGCUUUUGAAACUGUUAACCACGAGGGUGGGAGAGGUAGAUGGAAUUUCUGGGGUAGGGGUAAAAUCCGUAGAGAUCAGAAGGAAUACCGAUUGCGAAGGCGAUCUACUGGAACAUUACUGACGCUGAGAUGCGAAAGCGUGGGGAGCAAACAGGAUUAGAUACCCGAGUAGUC
rnacentral:rRNA from 1 species